GGUUCAUGUAGACUGGACAUGGCUCUCCUUCACGAGAUAUUCUUGGAGUCAUUGCAUUUGUGCUGUUGAUCCUGAGAGCUGGGCUAUACCUCUUGCAUUUCUCCAUCGAGGCCCAGAUAUCUCCCCUCCCCCACUAGAAUCUGGGUUCUCUUUCUCCUGAAAGAGUGUCAUUGUUUAGCUAUAUGAAUAACCCUAGAUAUAGCAUUGAGUUAACAUGUCCAAGAUAUUUGUUGCUGGAAAAAACUGAACAGCAAUGCAUGGUAUGAUUUAAUUUUUGUAAAAGUGUAUAGAUAGGUAGAUAGAAAGAUAAGCACAGAAUAAAAUCUAUACUACGUGACAGAUUA
rnacentral:lncRNA from 1 species